rnacentral:rRNA from 1 species
UUGCCUUUGAUACUGCAGGUCUUGAGUCAUGGUGGGGUUGCCGGAACAUGUGGUGUAGCGGUGAAAUGCAUAGAUAUCACAUAGAACACCGAUCGCGAAGGCAGGUGACCAACCAUGUACUGACGCUGAUGGACGAAAGCGUGGGUAGCGAACGGGAUUAGAUACCCCGGUAGUCCACGCCGUAAACGAUGGAUACUAGCUGUGGGGACUUCGGUCUCCGUGGCCAAGCGAAAGUGAUAAGUAUCCCACCUGGGGAGUACGUUCGCAAGAAUGAAACUCAAAGGAAUUGACGGGGGCCCGCACAAGCGGUGGAGCAUGUGGUUUAAUUCGAUGAUACGCGAGGAACCUUACCAGGGCUUAAAUGCAGGCUGCAUGGGGUAGAGAUACCCCUUUCUUCGGACCGCCUGCAAGGUGCUGCAUGGUUGUCGUCAGCUCGUGCCGUGAGGUGUCAGGUUAAGUCCUAUAACGAGCGCAACCCCUACCGUUAGUUGCCAGCAUGUCAAGAUGGGGACUCUAACGGGACUGCCGGUGCAAACCGUGAGGAAGGUGGGGACGACGUCAAAUCAUCACGGCCCUUACGUCCUGGGCUACACACGUGCUACAAUGGCCGGUACAGAGGGAAGCCACCCCGCAAGGGGGCGCGGAUCUACAAAACCGGUCACAGUUCGGAUCGGGGUCUGCAACUCGACCCCGUGAAGCUGGAAUCGCUAGUAAUCGGAUAUCAGCCAUGAUCCGGU